AUUGAACGCUGGCGGCAUGCCUUACACAUGCAAGUCGAACGGCAGCACGGGUGCUUGCACCUGGUGGCGAGUGGCGAACGGGUGAGUAAUACAUCGGAACGUACCUUAUCGUGGGGGAUAACGCAGCGAAAGUUGCGCUAAUACCGCAUACGCCCGGAGGGGGAACGCGGGGGACCGUAAGGCCGCGCGCCAUUAGAGCGGACGAUGUCUUAUUAGCUUGUUGGUGAGGUAACAGCUCACCAAGGCGAUGAUCAGUAGCUGGUCUGAGAGGACGAUCAGCCACACUGGGACUGAGACACGGCCCAGACUCCUACGGGAGGCAACAGUGGGGAAUUUUGGACAAUGGGGGCAACCCUGAUCCAGCAAUGCCGCGUGAGUGAAGAAGGCCUUCGGGUUGUAAAGCUCUUUUGUCAGGGAAGAAAUGUCCUGGGCUAAUACCCUGGGGGGAUGACGGUACCUGAAGAAUAAGCACCGGCUAACUACGUGCCAGCCGCCGCAGUAA
rnacentral:rRNA from 1 species